CGCAGACGGCCUGCACUUUCUGAAGCAGCUCUGAUAUAAACUAGGUAUACACCGUGGCAUCACAAGGGCCACCCAUACAGGGGCCCUGACAAAUGGCUACCACAUGCAAGGAAGGCAGCAGGCGCGCAAAUGACCCACUCUCGACGGAGGGAGGUAGUGACG